rnacentral:rRNA from 1 species
UUAAGCUACUAAGAGCAUAGGGUGAAUGCCUUGGCACCAAGAGCCGAUGAAGGACGUGAUAAGCUGCGAAAAGCUAUGGGGAGGAGCAAAUAUCCAUUAUAUCCAUAGAUAUCCGAAUGAGGGAACUCAGCUGGUGGAAAAAGACCAGUUAUCCAUACAUAAGUAAAGUAGUGUAUGUGAAGGGAACGUGGGGAACUGAAACAUCUAAGUACCCACAGGAAAAGAAAGAAAACUCGAUUCCUUGAGUAGUGGCGAGCGAAAGAGGAAGAGCCUAAACCAGAAGAAGUAAUUCUACUGGGGUUAUGGACUACAUAAUUGAUUCAUGAGAUUUAGCAGAACUGUUUGGAAAAGCAGACCAAAGAUAGUGAAAGUCUAGUAAGCGAAAAAUCAAAUGACAUGGUAGUAUCCAGAGUAGUGCGAGACACGGGAAAUCUCGUAUGAAGAAUGGGGGACCACCCCCAAAGGCUAAAUACUACUUGGUGACCGAUAGUGAAGCAGUACCGUGAGGGAAAGGUGAAAAGAACCCCGGGAGGGGAGUGAAAGAGAACCUGAAACCCUAUGUUUACAAGCAGACAAAGCACGUUAAGGUGCGAUGUCGUACUUUUUGUAGAACGGUCCGGCGAGUUAUUUUAUAUGGCAAGGUUAAGUACUUAAGGUACGAAGCCGAAGAGAAAUCGAGUCUGAAGAGGGCGAAUAAGUCAUAUGAAAUAGACCCGAAACCGGGUGACCUAUCCAUGGUCAGGUUGAAGCUUGAGUAAAAUCAAGUGGAGGACCGAACCCAUAAGCGUUAAAAAGCUUCGGGAUGAACUGUGGAUAGCGGAGAAAUUCCAAUCGAACUCGGAGAUAGCUGGUUCUCCUCGAAAUAGUUUUAGGACUAGCCUUGUUUAGUAGUACGUGGGGGUAGAGCACUGAAGGAGCUAGGGGCCAAACCAGGUUACCGAACUCUAUCAAACUCCGAAUACCAUGUAUGUAAGAACAGGAGUCAGACUGUGGGAGCUAAGUUCCAUGGUCAAAAGGGAAAGAGCCCAGAUCGUCAAUUAAGGUCCCAAAGAUAUAGUUAAGUGGAAAACGAUGUGAUUUUGCGUAAACAACCAGGAUGUUGGCUUAGAAGCAGCCAUUCAUUUAAAGAGUGCGUAAUAGCUCACUGGUCGAGUGAAGUUGCGCGGAAAAUUACCGGGGCUAAACUAUACACCGAAAUUGCGGAUUCAUACGUAAGUAUGAGUGGUAGAGGAGCAUUCUGUUGUAGGACGAAGCAUGAUCGAAAGGACAUGUGGACGAAGCAGAAGAGAGAAUGCCGGAAUAAGUAGCGAAAGCAUGGUGAGAAUCCAUGCCAUCGAAAGUCUAAGGUUUCCUGGGGAAGGUUCGUCCGCCCAGGGUAAGUCGGGACCUAAGGUGAGGCCGAAAGGCGUAGCCGAUGGACAGCAGGUAGAAAUUCCUGCACCACCGAUAUACUUAAAAAGCGCAAGGGACACAGGAGUGGAAGAGAAGCGAGGAAGAGGAAAAACUCGUAUCGAAAGAUAUAGUGAAAAUAAAGUAACGAAUUCUCAAGAAGCACACUGGCGAGAAAAGCUUGUGAGUAUUGUAUAUAGGUGCCCGUACCGCAAACCGACACAGGUAGAUGAGGAGAAGAUCCUAAGAUGAGCGAGAGAAGCAUUGUUAAGGAACUCGGCAAAUUGACCCCGUAACUUAGGGAGAAGGGGUACCGGUGUAACAGCCGGUCGCAGUGAAUCGGUCCAAGCAACUGUUUAACAAAAACACAGGUUUCUGCUAAAUCGAAAGAUGAAGUAUAGGAGCUGACGCCUGCCCAGUGCUGGAAGGUUAAGGGGAAGGGUUAUUCGUAAGAAGAAGCUUUGAACCAAAGCCCCAGUGAACGGCGGCCGUAACUAUAACGGUCCUAAGGUAGCGAAAUUCCUUGUCAGGUAAGUUCUGACCCGC